AUUCAGGAGUGAAGCAGCUUCUUGAUCUUGUGAAGAGUCCAGACUAUAAACUGGAGACUCUGUAGUGAAAGAUCUUAUAAACAGGAGGGUGUGUGAUGUGAGAGGAUGAGCUGUGUCCUGAUGAUCCAGAGGUUGAAGCAGACUCUGACUGGACCAUGUUACUGGGAGGUGGAGAGGAGAGCUUCAUCCACAUGGUAUCCAUUUAAGACCAUCAACAGAGCUGCACUUCAACUCUUCACAGAUCUCCAACAAAUUAAGUCCAGUCCCUCAUCAAUGAUUCAGACACAUCCAUCAACAACAUGUCAACCUGCCAGAAUCAACAGUCCUUCCUGUUGUUGUGGAGAUGUUUCUUCCAACUACAUUCUAAUGUCUGUCUUCUCUUGUCUCUGUAGACACAGGAGAUUCCACAUGUUUUUCCUCCUGUUUCAUCCACAUAUUUGUUUGAAUGGAGCAGGAGCUGGAGUGAGCAGCAGUCUGCUUUAUCUGUCACUGAUUAUUGAUUGGAUUAGUCAGAUUGUCAGUGACGGUGUUGAUGGAUGUUUGGCUUUGGUCUGCUUUAUUCUGCUUUAUAUUAUGGUUGGUUACAGGAACUUUACAUCCUGAAAACUACACGUAAGAGCUCAUUAUCCUUCAGAGAACAUCACAGUAAUGUUCACAGAUCUAUAUGAUAAGCACUGCCCUCUUAAACAGCAUAACACAAAUAGCCAUUAUAGAGAAAAGACAUGGAUGACCAAGGGGCUUCAGAAUGCCUGUAAAAAAAGAACUGCUUGUAGAGACUGUUUAUGAAAUAAAAUGAAAGAGGCAGAGUUUAAAUAUAAGUAAAACUAUUGCUUAAGUAUAAAAAUAACGUUAAAUAUAUAUGGAAUAUAUCAAAAAGUAUUAUUGGAAAAGAACAAAUAAAUCAAACACAUCCUGAUCACUUUACAGAUAAGGGAAGACAAAUUAUUCCAGUGAACCUAACCUAUUCCUCAACCUAACAAAGGCAGCAUUUCUCCUUCUCAGCCAAUCAAAUGCAGCGUUCUUUAACCGUUCUGUUGCAAAACCACUGGUGUUCUUGGGCUCCUUGUCUUCCUCCAUGACCCAGUUUCUCUUCACAUUCAGCUCAUGGACUCAUGUCCUGACAUUUUCUUUCAGAGUUCACUGGUAGAAUUCACAAUUUACUGGUCCAUCUAUGAUGACAAGCCGUCAUGGUCCAGAAGCAGGAAACACAUCUGCACAGGGCACAUGUGUUUUCUACUUCUUAUCCAUGGGAGGUUACAUCGUUCAUUCCUUUCAGUUAUCUGUCUUGCUCCCAGGCCCUUAAAUAACACAAGAUGCAACAUUCUUAGCAGCUUCUAGUUCAUGUGUAUUAUUUGGAUGAAAAAUGUCCAUUACAAUCCCCAAUCUAUCACACAAACUUUAAAUCAACAUGAAUCAAACACAAUGAGAAAGGAUGAUGUGAUGGAAAAGUGCUCAAGUGACCUUUUAGCCUACAUGAGUUCAUAACAAGUUAAAAUAAUUUCAGCACAGGUUCAUCGAAAGUUCAUAAUAAAUGUGAUAUUACCUUGCAUCUUCUAUGUGCAGACAUGCAGGCUGAAGACCUUUAGUUGUCAUGCUUGACCUCGCUUGCACUUCCUCUUGAUCUGCUCCUCCUGUCUAAGAAGUAAGACUUGAGAGGUGGAAAGUUGAUGGAAAGGAUGCACUCACAUAUUCUGUAUAAUCAUCAUUUUAAGAUUUUUGUGCAUUGCUCCAACAAAAUGUGAAUAUGGUGGAGAGUCAGAGUUGUUUCCUGUUGUACACAGAGCUGCUCUCCCCGGGUAAGAAUAAACCUUGCUUCUCAUAUACAA